UCAGCCUAUACUAGGAAACUCAUGGAGC
rnacentral:sRNA from 1 species